AGUUUAUUUUGUUGCCACCAGGGUGAACCACGUGUAUUUCUCCGUGCGCCACCAUUUUUUCUCAUUUCAACUAUGACCCUUCGCCUCUGACCCAACAUACACAUGGCAUGUUUCUGUCCUCGUUUAUUCAAAACUGGUUCGUAGUCGCCCUCAAGCGUUCUUCUCAAAUUACUGCAUUUUUUAAAUUUUUAAUUUUUUAAAUGAUUUAACCUUAUUUAACGAGGCAAGUCAGUUAAGAACACAUUCUUAUUUACAAUGUUAUGUAUUGCUCAUCAUUGGUGACGGCUGUUGUUUACUUAUUUAUUUGUUGUCUCAUCACAUUAUUGUACAAAAAAACGGAAACGUAGCUAAUACACCAGUAUUUAUUGUUUCGAGUGGUCUUUUUAGUGGUAUGGGGAUCCAGUAUUGCGUCGCUGAUUGCAUUGAUUGACAGAUCAUCCCUGAAGUUGUUUUAUUACGUCAAAGUGCAUUCACAUUAUGACGUUGGCUGAGUUACCGUAUAAAAUGCGAUAGUUUAUCUCUUUGGUUAUCACUUGGUAAAGUUUUACAUGAUGGGAACAUAGGCUCCAGCCAUAGACUUUAACCAUGGAGGAUAAUAAGAGUUUAAAUGAAGAUGAUCCACAUGAUCAUCAAAGUUUGGAAGGUCAAGUCCAGAAAAUGAAGAAUGAUAUCCUGGGUUUAAACUAUCCAGAAGAUAGUGAAGUGAAGGAUCCCCUGCCUCAGAUCGAGCUGAAGGCUGUGACAAGGAGAAAAGUUAAGACCAAGAGGAGGACCAGUGCCAACAGGUCCACAGUUGAACAGAGCACUGAUAGUGAUGCGGCUGAGAGAGAUUUUGUUGAUAAUCAGAAUGAUGAAGAUGAGGAAAAGGUGAAGAAGGAUCCCCUGCCUCAGAUGCAGCAGGAUGCCGUGAAAAGAAAUAAAGUCAAGGUAAGGGAAUAGAUUGAGC
ensembl:lncRNA